rnacentral:rRNA from 1 species
GACGAACGCUGGCGGCGUGCCUAAUACAUGCAAGUCGAACGAGAGCGACCGGUGUUUGCACUGGUCAAUCUAGUGGCGAACGGGUGAGUAACACGUGGGUAACCUGCCCAUCAGAGGGGGAUAACAUCCGGAAACGGAUGCUAAAACCGCAUAGGUCUUCGAACCGCAUGGUUGGAAGAGGAAAAGAGGCGCAAGCUUCUGCUGAUGGAUGGACCCGCGGUGCAUUAGCUAGUGGGGGGGGUAACGGCUCACCAAGGCCGUGAUGCAUAGCCGACCUGAGAGGGUGAUCGGCCACAUUGGGACUGAGACACGGCCCAAACUCCUACGGGAGGCAGCAGUAGGGAAUCUUCCGCAAUGGACGCAAGUCUGACGGAGCAACGCCGCGUGAGUGAAGAAGGUUUUCGGAUCGUAAAACUCUGUUGUUAGAGAAGAACAAGUGCUAGAGUAACUGUUAGCGCCUUGACGGUAUCUAACCAGAAAGCCACGGCUAACUACGUG